rnacentral:rRNA from 1 species
GACGAACUGUCCUAACGUUGUUCGGAAUCACUGGGCUUAAAGGGCGCGUAGGCGGUCCGACAAGUCAGGGGUGAAAUCCUGCAGCUUAACUGCAGAAGUGCCUUUGAUACUGUCGGUCUCGAGGGAGAUAGGGGUGUGCGGAAACUUUCCCGUAGUAGGACGGUCGGUAAAGUAAAGUCGGUACGGUUAGGAAUUACGGUUAAGGGGAAAACGGGUAACCGAACCGGUAGGGGCCGGAAAAAGGGCCGGACGGCCC